rnacentral:rRNA from 1 species
UAUAGAGGGGGCAAGCGUUGCUCGGAAUCACUGGGCGUAGAGCGCACGUAGGCGGAUCUUUAAGUCAGGGGUGAAAUCCCGGAGCUCAACUCCGGAACUGCCUUUGAUACUGAGGACCUUCGAGUUCGGGAGAGGUGAGUGGAACUGCGAGUGUAGAGGUGAAAUUCGUAGAGAUCCGGAGGAACACCAGUGGCGAAGGCGACUCGCUGGGCCGUACCUGACGCUAAGACGCGACAGCAUGGGGAGCGAACGGG